AGAGCCAAAAGCAUGGAUGUGUAUCCCUUACAUUUUUUUCCAGCUUUCCAAAUGAAGGCUGAAAUGCAUCUAACGUACUCUAAGGCAUAUUCACUGACUGAAACAUGAACUGCUAAGCAGACCAGCGGUUGAGUGCUUCAGAUGGAAAACAGGCUGAGUAGUUUUUGGAAAGCAGAAGCAGUGCUAGAUCUGUUGAUAGAAUUGUUGUGUCUUGCAUCCGUGGUUUCUUCCUGAAUGAUUGACAGAGCUGCACUGACAGCAGCUCACUACCCCAGACCAAAAUUAUCAGGCUAAUGAGUCAAUGGUAGAAGGAGGAGGUGUGAAGCACCUUUAAUUGAAAGACUCCACACAUCUGCAGAGGCAUUUUAUGAGUGAAGCUGAUGGAGAAUGUUACAGAGGAGACUCUCGUUCUCUCUUUCAGGGAGCGUAGCAGCAGACCCAAGCUUGACAGAUUUCAUAUUUUACACACUGUGAUGCCACCAGGCGGGAGGCCUGAGCAGAUGCAGGAAAUACAUCUCACCUCUGCAAUCUUAUAAUCCCCAAUUCCCUACUUUCCCCUCCAGCUCAUCAAGAAGGUGGCAAUGAAGAUCAUCCUCCUCACCCAUAGCUUUGUCCUGAUCCUCUACAAAUCCCUUCACUGACUUCUGCAUCAAGCUAGCUUCUCAUUCUUGUCUUCAAAGUUCUGCACAAUUGUGCCCAGCCAAAAUCUGUUUGUGUUUCUUAUUGUGAUUACACCACUUCAUUCCUUUCAUCUCCUUUGUGCAUUUCCAUUGUUUCUUCCAUGCUACUCCACAUGUCUAACUGGUCUAGUGGAUAGAUCCUUGGUCUCAGAAGCCCUGAGUUUUAGUUCUUGCUCUGUUACUGUCCUGCUAUUUGACCCUGGACAAGUUACUUGAUCUCUGUUUCCUCUCACAACCUUUUCUGUUUAGAUUUACUUAUUUAUUUAAAGAGUAAGCUCUUAGGGGCAAGAUUGUCUUUUAAAGUGUGUGUAUGGUGCCUAGCACAAUGGGCCCCCAAUUUCACUGGGGGCCUGUAGCUGGUACAGUAAUAUGAAUAAAAAUAAUAAUCCCACCUCCUGUUAUGCCUUUUCCUGCCCUGGCCACGAAGCAUGAUACAUUCUCCCCACCACAAGUCACUAUACUUUUUCUCAAUUCAAGUACCUCCCAAAGGCUUACUUCUAGAGUGACAACAAUCAGUGAUCAAAAUUGAACAUUUGAAAUGUUCAGUGCAAAUCCCUCUUUAUGCACCAAUCUUCUCCAGUUCAUUAUGUUAGAAUGUACAUUCUCUAGGACAAAGGACUGGAUAUAUUUUAGAACUUGCCAAGCACAUCGUAGGCACUUAUACACUAAGUAUUAAUAUAUAACCCAAAUGGGCAAGAAAUUCCACCAUGUUAUAGAUUUAGUGCAUGAGGAAAAAAACAGAACAAUUUCAUUCACCCCUUCAAUUGUUUAACUAUUAAUGACAUACAUUUGGUUCUUUCCUUUACAAGACGGCUUGACUUGAGGCUGUAAUAUAUACAUGGGUAUGUGUAUAUAAUAUACACACAUACCCAUAUAUAUUACAGCUUCAAGGCAAACAGUAUUUUAUACAUAACACACCAAUCUCAGAUAUAGACUAAGCUCCAAACAUUAACAGUAUAAAUAAAUGGAUAGAUGGAGUGCUCCUUACCGGAGAAAAACAAAAUCUUGCUCCAAGGGGCCAAGUUCUGUGGGAAAAAAUGUGUUUCUGUCUAAAUUUGGCUGGAAACCUCACUUCAUUAUCGCUCCUGCCUGUGGCCCAUUUGUUAUAUACUGAGGGUUAUACAAUGCUGUCGGCUGCAGGAAGCAAGGGAGAAAGAUUAGGUAAAGGGGCACUCAGAUCACAGUUUUACCUUGUGGCCAACUUUAGUGGCAGAAAAACAGAAAACAAAAACAAUUGUGUUGGUUUUCUUUAAGGAAGGACGGGGGAUUUUUACAUGUGUGGUUUCUGCACCCUAUUCCUCCAGCAGAUCACCUUGAAUUCCAAUAGAGCUGUGAAACUGCCAGCCACAACAAUCUGAAAAUUACAAACUGGGGGUGGGGGCAGCAUUAAAAAAAGAGAAAGGGGGGGAAAAGAAACUUCUUUUCUGUUUGCACAAAUAGAUCAUCUAUGGUCAUUGAUGUGUAGACAAUCUAGCUGCACAGAUAACACUGGUCUACAAUGUUUGAGAAGUCAUCUGCUUCAGAGAUAAAAUGUGCUAUUUAUCAUGUAUUUUGA